GGAGAGGUGGCUGAGCGGUUGAAAGCGCUCCCCUGCUAAGGGAGUAUAGGGUUAACCCCUAUCGAGGGUUCGAAUCCCUCCCUCUCCGCCA
rnacentral:tRNA from 1 species